GUGGGGAAUAUUGGACAAUGGGCGAAAGCCUGAUCCAGCCAUGCCGCGUGUGUGAAGAAGGUCUUCGGAUUGUAAAGCACUUUAAGUUGGGAGGAAGGGCAGUAAGUUAAUACCUUGCUGUUUUGACGUUACCGACAGAAUAAGCACCGGCUAACUUCGUGCCAGCAGCCGCGGUAAUACGAAGGGUGCAAGCGUUAAUCGGAAUUACUGGGCGUAAAGCGCGCGUAGGUGGUUUUGUAAGUUGGAGGUGAAAUCCCCGGGCUCAACCUGGGAACUGCCUCCAAAACUGCAUGACUAGAGUACGGUAGAGGGUAGUGGAAUUUCCUGUGUAGCGGUGAAAUGCGUAGAUAUAGGUAGGAACACCAGUGGCGAAGGCGACUACCUGGACUGAUACUGACACUGAGGUGCGAAAGCGUGGGGAGCAAACAGGAUUAGAUACCCCGGUAGUCC
rnacentral:rRNA from 1 species